rnacentral:tRNA from 1 species
AAAAAAUUUUAAUUGAAGCUGCUAACUUUGAUUAGGGGAUUUCCACUCUCCAAAAAACUAUUUUGAUAUCUUA